rnacentral:rRNA from 1 species
UACGUAGGUGGCAAGCGUUAUCCGGAUUUACUGGGUGUAAAGGGUGCGUAGGCGGGUACUCAAGUCAGAUGUGAAAUACUUUGGCUCAACCAAAGAAUUGCAUUUGAAACUGAGUAUCUUGAGAGCGGGAGAGGUAAGCGGAAUUCCCAGUGUAGCGGUGAAAUGCGUAGAGAUUGGGAGGAACACCAGUGGCGAAGGCGGCUUACUGGACCGCAACUGACGCUGAAGCACGAGAGCGUGGGGAGCAAAC